CGGUUUGAGAGCUUGAAGCUGCCAGCAUGAUCUGGUACCACUAGAGACUAAACCUAGCUAGCUAGCUUUAUAAAUUCUAUAUUCAGGGUUAAUUUUGUGCUUAUAUCAUAUAUGUCCCUUUUGAGGUUUCGAUAUAAGAACUGCACCAAAUAGAUCGGCAAAAGAUCAGCUUUAUAUAGAAAUAGUUAUUAUUCUCGCACCACCCAGUUAUUAGAAUAGGAUCUGGUCGGUGUUGAUUUUGUGCUUAAGUCGGAUGGUUUCAGGUUUAGAUAUAAGCUAGAACGCCGAAUAGAUUUGCAGAAGAUCCAGCUUUUCAUGUAAAUUGGACCAAAAUUUUGAUGGGGGUAUUAUAGUUUUUGAUAGAUCUUGGUUUAUUUCAUGUUCUGGGAGUUCUGGAGAAACGGGCCGGUUUGGAGUCAAUUGAUUCAGUUAAUCACUACAUAAUUAUAUAAGGUUACUCUAGCUAUACCAGGUCAUCUUGCAGCUUCAAACACUCACUCA
rnacentral:pre_miRNA from 1 species